UUCUGGGCAGUCUGUGUUCCAGUGGUGGAGAUUUCACUGGUUACAAUACCUCCAAACACGCAACCCAGGGAACUGGUGGAAUUAAUUUAUGUGUAUUGUGAAAUAAGGAAUCUGUAAAUUAAUAGAAAAAAAGUGAAUAGGUUUCUGAAAUAAGGCAUCUAUGCUGGAUUCUUGGCUCUGCUCUGCUGCCAGCUAUUGUCAUGUGCAGAAGACUUGAUCCCAGCUGACAACCUGCCUAACCCAAGAGGAUCAUAUGUCUUCUUAAUCAGUUGAAAGCUGUGUACAGAGACAGACCUUUGAGGGAUGGACUCCACAGUGAACACACAGGAGGAGGAUCUGUUCUAUGGGUCUUUAAAACGUGGGUUUUUUUGUCUGCCUUGGACAGGACUCAAGAUGGGAGUGGUAACUUCCAGCAGAGGAAGGUGCAACAGGAGGGAACGUUAAUCCCUUAUUACUACUCAGGCAUGAACUGCUGGCAGAAUAACCCUAAUUCUGCAUGACUUCAUGCUUUUGGCCUGGAAAUAAGACCUUGGAACUGCUCAUACUGACAAGCUCCUCUGUAAGCUAAGAACCUCAACAAACAUUAUUUCUGGUGGGCUUGUGUCUUGUGCGUAAUUCAACUUAGAGCAGUAACCCAAGGCCCCAGCUGCUCCCUAGUAUGCUAUGAUACAAUCUUUGUGCAAGAAAUGCACAAGCCCAAAGCCAGAGCUAUGCUUAUUAGCCAAGCAGUAGAUACAACCACCUGGCCAGCUAUGCAAGACCUCUGCUUUGCCUU